AAUGGAAAAACUGGAAUGCUCCUGACCCUGAACUAAUUUUUCUUAAGUGAUCCUUGAAACCAAGAUCUGUGGUAAGGUGGGAGUUGAAAUGGAAUACUUCAGCAAAUGGCACAAGAAAAGAUGAAGGAAAAGGUGGGAGAAACCAAUCAUCUGGAAGACCCUCUGAGAUGCCUUGGAGUCACACACCAUUGUUCUUAUUGACAGAUCAGUCCUGAGUCUCCAAUAAAGGUAGUUACUGCUCCUGUCUCUAUUGCUCUGAUGAGGACACUGGUUCAGAGAGGUUGUGCUUCUUGAAUCCAUAGAGGAGACACAACCAUCUAUAAACAACAAUAUUUUGAGCCUUGGCAGAGAAGGAUGAUAAAAAAUGAAGAUUCUGAGGAGCAGAAAUUUCUUACAUCAAGUUACCACAGUGGCGACCACAUGUUCUGAUCCUCUUCAAGGCAUGUUUAUUGGAAGAUUUUGUUUUUCUGUAAAGGUACAUUUUCAUUGCCUACUUGAGGAGACUUAAAAAUCCAUAACUGAGUGUAGGAACUACUCAUGUAGGAAGCCACUUGCAUAGAUAUGUGUUAGUUAUGUUAUUGAUGGACAACCUGCUGAUUUCUGGAGCUGUGUCUCCACUUGGUGGGAGGUACUGGAAUUACAAUACAUUCACAAGUUUCAUUUGGGUAGAAUAAUUGGCUUUAAAAUCAUUCAGCUGCUUGUAGGAAGCAAGGAGGCAACACCAUCAACAGCCAGGAUGCAGUUACCUGAAUCCUUAUUGCAGUUGCCUUAUUGCAGUGAAUUACUUAAGAUAUAUUGAUUUCUUCCCCAUAGAACUAUAUUGUUUUCCUGCAUAUACCAUUAUGAGC
rnacentral:lncRNA from 1 species